GCCUUGGUGGUCUAGUGGUAGGAUACCUGCUUAGGGCGGUUGUCUUAAAUGCAGGUGAUCCCAGGUUCGAUCCCUGGCCAAGGCC